AUUUCUUUGAAUCCAAACGGGGAUUUUCUCUCCAAACGUAUAUUGUUCGUAGGACGCAUAGGUGUAUAUAGUUUGGAUAGGAAGAAAGUGGAUGAAAUUUGUGGGACUAGAGUUUGCUGAGUUUGACAGAGUACGAUGUCUGUAGUAUGCUUGGAAGGAAUGAUAUAUUAGAUUAGUACUAGGCUGCUUUUCUGAUAUACCACCUCACUGGGUGGGGAGGUAGGGAGGUAGGGAAGUAACAUGAGCAUGUUAACCGUGGAUUAUACUCAAAGCUGACAAUCUUUUGUCUUAGCAUUAUGUUGCUUAGUAGUCCUUUUUUUGAGCAUGCCUAUCGAAGAUGAGAGGCAUAUAUGGUAAUGAAGACUAGGUUCAUUAUUGCUCACUCUUUUCAAUUAAGGAAACCUCAAAAAGGAUACUAGUCAUUGUGUUUUCGAGUUCAUCAUGAUCAUAUAUCUCACAUUCAUUUGUCAAUCUUAUAGCUGCUUUUUUUUUCCCUCUCUUGGUGAAAUAUUUUGUUUCAAAUGUGUCUUGGAGGAUCGAUCCCUGUUUUGAUCGAAAACAAAACAGGGGAGCAUGGUCCAGUUUGGAAAGAAGUGCCUGUGCAUGAUCGUCAGGUCCAGGAUGCAGCUGAUCAUGCUAUUGAGACUAUCCAACAGAGGUCCAACUCGGUCUUCCCUUAUGAACUGUACGAGAUCAUUCAUGCAAAGGUCGAGGCAUAUGUUCUGUUCCAAUAUGUCUCCCUUUUCACUUUGGUUUCCUAUUUGACUCGAAUUGCCAUUGUUCAGCUACUUUCUUCCAGUAUAUAAAAGCAUUAUCCUUAAGAGAAAAAAUGAGCAUGUAGCGAAAAUUCUUUCAUCCUCACACUAUGUCUUGCUCUUAUAUAUAGAUGGAUAGAUUGUUUUGGAUAUGUUCCAAUAUGAAAUAUCCCCUUAACUUUGUUUAUUGGUGCUGAUUAUUGUCAAUUUAGUCCUUCCUCGGUAUAGGAGCAGAUAUAAGUUAUGGCGGUAUAUCAUGGAACCUCAUGUUUACUAUACGAGAGUGUGUGCCAUUAUGCCCUAUAUUAGGGGAGCCUGAUUCCCCUGUCAUGGUAGCCUGAUUCCUAUUUUGAUCAAAACUAGGGGAAUAUAGCGUCGGCAACCAACCCCUCAGACCUAGUCGAUGGCGAUAUCAGAGGUCGCCGGCGAUCUAGUCUGGGCGGUGGUGGCCCCGGCGCAAGCCACCAUCAGUUGGAUCUCCCCCUCUCUCUCAUUCCGUUUUCCGAGUAUGUUCCUAGGUUUUGAGAUUGGGAAUGGGAGUGCUCUGAACUGCUUGAUUUGUAUCUGUGCAUUUUACUAUUUCAAAUCGAAUAUCAAGCAUCAGGUUGAGGUUUAGUUAAGUUCUCUUUAUUUGCUCAAUAUGUUGUUGAGCAAGUUCUUGCUUGCUAUGAAGCUUUUAAGAGGAAGUGCUUUCUGUCGAGCAAGGUUGAAUGACUCUAUUCAAUUGAAUUCAUGCCAAUUGAAUUGAAUUAUUGUAUUUUUAAGGAUUCCAAACUUGUAAUAACGAUGAUACUAAGCUAACUAUCAGGUAAAUUUAACCUUCAAAAGUCGGUGUCAAAUGAAAUAAAAAGAACAGAGUCAUUUGUUAUCUGGAAAGAAUAAUUUCUCUUUGCCUUUCCUUGUAGAUAUCUUGUAAUGGCCCGGGCUCUGAUGAAGGCUGGCCGGCCAAUCUUCUUUUCAUUGGAAGGUUGGAAACUGCGGGAGAACAACUAGCGACAUUGCUGAUGACUGGGAUAGGAAACCUUGUAAAAGAUGGUGAGCUUUUGGAACAGGUUGAUGGGGAAGGUGGCCUCUCAUAACUGACACCUUGUAAAAGAUGGUGAGCUUUUGGAAUAGGUUGAUGGGGAAGGUGGCCUCCCAUAACUGUAAGCGCCACAAGUGGGUCUUCAAGGAACCUUUCGAGUGAGAGUUAAACAUCUCCAACUACUGAAAAUACUUUUAUUUUAUUAAUAAAAUCCAGUCCAACGCAUCAA